rnacentral:rRNA from 1 species
GACGAACGCUGGCGGCGUGCUUAACACAUGCAAGUCGAACGGUGAAGCGCCUUCCUUUUUGGUGGGUGUGGAUGAGUGGCGAACGGGUGAGUAACACGUGAGUAACCUGCCCCCUUCUUCUGGAUAACCGCAUGAAAGUGUGGCUAAUACGGGAUAUUCUGGGUCUGUCGCAUGAUGGGUCUGGGAAAGAUAUUGUUUCGGUGGGGGAUGGGCUCGCGGCCUAUCAGCUUGUUGGUGGGGUGAUGGCCUACCAAGGCGGUGACGGGUAGCCGGCCUGAGAGGGUGGACGGUCACACUGGGACUGAGACACGGUCCAGACUCCGACGGGAGGCAGCAGUGGGGAAUAGUGCGCAAUGGGGGCUAGCCUGAUGCAGCGACGCCGCGUGAGGGAUGGAGGCCUUCGGGUUGUGAACCUCUUUCGCCAGUGAAGCAGGCCUGCCUCGUUUGUGGGUGGGUUGACGGUAGCUGGAUAAGAAGCGCCGGCUAACUACGUG